rnacentral:rRNA from 1 species
GUUUACGGCCAUGCCAUCCUGAACGUGCCCCAUCUCGUCUGAUCUCGGAAGCUAAACAGUGUCAGGCCUGGUUAGUACUUGGAUAGGAGACUAUCUAGGAAUACCAGGUGCUGUAGGUG